GAUGAACGCUGGCGGCGUGCCUAAUACAUGCAAGUCGAGCGAACGGACGAGAAGCUUGCUUCUCUGAUGUUAGCGGCGGACGGGUGAGUAACACGUGGAUAACCUACCUAUAAGACUGGGAUAACUUCGGGAAACCGGAGCUAAUACCGGAUAAUAUUUUGAACCGCAUGGUUCAAAAGUGAAAGACGGUCAUGCUGUCACUUAUAGAUGGAUCCGCGCUGCAUUAGCUAGUUGGUAAGGUAACGGCUUACCAAGGCAACGAUGCAUAGCCGACCUGAGAGGGUGAUCGGCCACACUGGAACUGAGACACGGUCCAGACUCCUACGGGAGGCAGCAGUAGGGAAUCUUCCGCAAUGGGCGAAAGCCUGACGGAGCAACGCCGCGUGAGUGAUGAAGGUCUUCGGAUCGUAAAACUCUGUUAUUAGGGAAGAACAUAUGUGUAAGUAACUGUGCACAUCUUGACGGUACCUAAUCAGAAAGCCACGGCUAACUACGUGCCAGCAGCCGCGGUAAUACGUAGGUGGCAAGCGUUAUCCGGAAUUAUUGGGCGUAAAGCGCGCGUAGGCGGUUUUUUAAGUCUGAUGUGAAAGCCCACGGCUCAACCGUGGAGGGUCAUUGGAAACUGGAAAACUUGAGUGCAGAAGAGGAAAGUGGAAUUCCAUGUGUAGCGGUGAAAUGCGCAGAGAUAUGGAGGAACACCAGUGGCGAAGGCGACUUUCUGGUCUGUAACUGACGCUGAUGUGCGAAAGCGUGGGGAUCAAACAGGAUUAGAUACCCUGGUAGUCCACGCCGUAAACGAUGAGUGCUAAGUGUUAGGGGGUUUCCGCCCCUUAGUGCUGCAGCUAACGCAUUAAGCACUCCGCCUGGGGAGUACGACCGCAAGGUUGAAACUCAAAGGAAUUGACGGGGACCCGCACAAGCGGUGGAGCAUGUGGUUUAAUUCGAAGCAACGCGAAGAACCUUACCAAAUCUUGACAUCCUUUGACAACUCUAGAGAUAGAGCCUUCCCCUUCGGGGGACAAAGUGACAGGUGGUGCAUGGUUGUUGUCAGCUCGUGUCGUGAGAUGUUGGGUUAAGUCCCGCAACGAGCGCAACCCUUAAGCUUAGUUGCCAUCAUUAAGUUGGGCACUCUAAGUUGACUGCCGGUGACAAACCGGAGGAAGGUGGGGAUGACGUCAAAUCAUCAUGCCCCUUAUGAUUUGGGCUACACACGUGCUACAAUGGACAAUACAAAGGGCAGCGAAACCGCGAGGUCAAGCAAAUCCCAUAAAGUUGUUCUCAGUUCGGAUUGUAGUCUGCAACUCGACUACAUGAAGCUGGAAUCGCUAGUAAUCGUAGAUCAGCAUGCUACGGUGAAUACGUUCCCGGGUCU
rnacentral:rRNA from 1 species